rnacentral:lncRNA from 1 species
GGGCUCAGUGCGUUUGCGUUGGUGUCGUUCGUGUAGGUUGGACUUGCUCUCCAUGGACUGGUUAGUGUGGAGAUAGUUGUAUAGUCGCGACCGUACGGGACGAGUGUGUUCACAGUCUCAGGGACAGGUAUGACUACAGUUCUUAUUUGAGAUUGGGUCUGAGUUGACACUGUUCUACAGAUGGUUAGAUUUAGAGUAUGAUAGUAUAGUGGCAUAUAGCUGUAGAUUUGUUCCAGCUUUCUUUACUAUU